UUUUUAAUGCUUCUUAACCAAUAUCUUUGUCUUUCAGGUGUGAUCGUAUUCUUUCAUAUAUAGCACUGGAAUGAGAUUACUUAGGUAUGGAAGGACUGAACUCAGGUUUUCAGACCACAGAUCAGUGACUGCCACAUACAUGACUGAGGCUGAGGUGUUCUCUCCAAGGAAGCUGCCAAAAGCCCUGACUUUCACUGAUGCAGAGAUUGAAAAUGAAGAAGUCAUGGCAAAUUUAAGUAGUUGGAAUUUAGCCAAAUAAUCCGGACAAGUUGCUUUACAUUGCUUUCCUGUAAUUUGAAUGAACUAUGGGAUUGCAAAAACUAUUAUCUAGGCUUCAUGGUUAACAUGAAUAUAUUGAACAUCUAUAAAAUAAUAAUUUUGACAUAUGUCCAUAAUCUCUAUUUUCUGGUGCUGGGCCACUGUUUGAGUCCUGAUGAACAGGGAAAAAAGUUUUUGAAGUUUAGGCAAACUAUACAGGGAAAAAAGAAAUCCUAAAUCACAUUUAAAGGCAUAUUACCAGUCAUGAUGAACAGUUACUACCGAUGAGCAUUUACAAGGCUUUCUUCCUGAAAUUAUGAUACAUAGUUUUACUCUAGUUUUUGUAUGUAUGAAAAGUCACUUUCAGAGUACUCUUACCUAUAAGAGGGCAUAAAAAAUAUC
rnacentral:lncRNA from 1 species